rnacentral:rRNA from 1 species
AAUGAACGUUGGCGGCGCGGAUUAGGCAUGCAAGUCGCGCGAGAAGUCCUUUAGCUUGCUAAAAGACGGACAGCGGCGGAAGGGAGAGUAACGCGUGGCUAUGUACCCUCGAGACCGGGAUAGUGUCGGGAAACUGGCAGUAAUACCGAAUAACAUCUUCGGAUCAAAUGGUGUGAUGCCGCUCGAGGAUCGGACCGCGUAAUAUUAGCUAGUUGGAGGGGUAAUGGCCCACCAAGGCUUAGAUGGUUACCGGGUGUGAGAGCAUGGCCCGGCUCACUGGGACUGAGACACUGCCCAGACAUCUACGGAUGGCUGCAGUCGAGAAUCUUCGGCAAUGGCCGAAAGUCGGACCGAGCGACGCCGCGUGCGGGAUGAAGGCCUUCGGGUUGUAAGCCGCUGUCAGUUAGGAGGAAAUCCAUGAGGGUUCUCUCUCAUGGUUGACCGAUUUUCAGAGGAAGGACGGGCUAAGUUCGUGCCAGCCGCCGCAGUAAGAC